GUGGGGAAUAUUGGACAAUGGGCGCAAGCCUGAUCCAGCCAUGCCGCGUGAGUGAUGAAGGCCUUAGGGUUGUAAAGCUCUUUUGUCCGGGAAGAUAAUGACUGUACCGGAAGAAUAAGCCCCGGCUAACUUCGUGCCAGCAGCCGCGGUAAUACGAAGGGGGCUAGCGUUGCUCGGAAUCACUGGGCGUAAAGGGCGCGUAGGCGGACUCUUAAGUCGGGGGUGAAAGCCCAGGGCUCAACCCUGGAAUUGCCUUCGAUACUGGGAGUCUUGAGUUCGGAAGAGGUUGGUGGAACUGCGAGUGUAGAGGUGAAAUUCGUAGAUAUUCGCAAGAACACCAGUGGCGAAGGCGGCCAACUGGUCCGAUACUGACGCUGAGGCGCGAAAGCGUGGGGAGCAAACAGGAUUAGAUACCCCAGUAGUCC
rnacentral:rRNA from 1 species